UAAACAAACGGUCCCUUUCUCUCUCUCUAACUCUCUGAGAUCUUCGUCUAAAAUUCACAACCCUCUCUCUCUAGAACUCGCAUUCUUGCUGUGAUUCGAUUCCAUGGAAGGUACUCUCCUGAGUGUCCUCUCUCCCCAAUUAUUUCUUGUUUUUGAUUUAAUUUCUUGUUAAAUCGUCGAGCGAGUGGUAAUUCAGAUCAAGAGGUGGAAAUGUUCCCCAAAACUGCAAAAACUUCGUUCCAAAUCAUGACUCCAAGCCCUCUUCGACCUCUGAAGCAGGUUCUUUUUGUUUUAUUUUAUUCAAUUUGCCCACUUUUUAAUUUUUUGAAUUACAAGAAAGUGUUGAAUUUGAGGUUCGGAUUCGAUUAUUACUGCUUCUUAUAGUUUUAAUUUUGUUUCCGGUCCAAGAAAAUGUAGAAUCGGGAAAUUUUCUGACUCAAUUUCAUCCCUCUUUUCCUUGAGUUAAAACUUAAAACCCGAUUACAACACGGUUGGACAGUGACGUAAGCGACAAGAAUGUACUCCAGAUAUUGCUACCAAACCCGUCGAGUGAGAUUCUGAUUGUAUUAUUGGUGAGAGUAUCACGUCGAACGGAACUCAACAAGGUUCUCCAUGUCAGAUGGUCCUUCCAGUUUUCCAGAUGAUCUCAACUGGCGUAUCAGGAUAGAUUUAAGGACCGGGAAUCUUCAGGUGUUGAGAUUGUGCUGGUAUUAUCACAACCCCAUGGCGGUUGGACGGGACAAAGUGGUUAUAUGUGCAGGCUGCUUUUCUAGAGCCAAGCAAAUUUAUAAUCCUCUCUCCACACUCCACAGCUGCUGUGUUAUGCGGGCAGAAGCAGAUGACUGAGGAUUUGAAGAGAGAGCAUAUACUGCCAUGUCUAAUGAAGUCAAGCUCACUACGAAUUUCUUUCCGGACCCUGCAAUUCUAAACACCAUUCAGCUGCUAAAAGCUUCAUUGGAAUUGCCUUGGUAUGCCUUCUGAAAACUCAUUUUAUAACUACUGCUUGCUGUGACUGUGCUUAGAAACGUGCAUAAGAGUUAACUGCUAGAUAAACAAGAGUAGGAAUGAUUUAGAGACUUAGCAAUUCAAUGAUAGGCUAGGAACCCCAUAAGUGUCUACUUCGACUGUCCUCUAUGGGAAACUCGAUAGCAUUGAACUACUUAAAUUAUCUGCAAUAUGAUAGUCUUAGAACUGCUGUGGUUGAUGUGAAUGAAUGAAUUGCUGCUGGAUGCAGGAUCCAGUUUUUA